UACGUAGGGGGCGAGCGUUGUCCGGAUUUACUGGGCGUAAAGGGUGAGUAGGCGGUUAUAUAUGUCAGGUGUAAAAAGCUAUGGCUUAACCAUAGUAAGCACUUGAAACUGUAUGACUUGAGUGCAGGAGAGGUAAGCGGAAUUCCUAGUGUAGCGGUGAAAUGCGUAGAUAUUAGGAGGAACACCGGUGGCGAAGGCGGCUUACUGGACUGUAGCUGACGCUGAGUCACGAAAGCGUGGGUAGCAAACAGGAUUAGAUACCCCUGUAGUCCCU
rnacentral:rRNA from 1 species